rnacentral:lncRNA from 1 species
UCAUCUGAAUAAAUAGAGUCAGCUGUUGCCAGAGGGUGACAUCUCCCCAGGGUGAGUUCCCCUAGACCAGGCAACCCCGUGUUGGGCUUAGAUGGGCACUUGAACACAGGCCAGCGAUAUCUGGGUGACGCUGGAGAGGGCUGCCAAGUGGAUGCUUCGUGGCUUUGGAAUGCCCCAGUGGGAGGUAAGGGGGCAGGGGUUAGAAGGAUUGGAUCAGGAAGGAACACCAUAGGUCAGCACACACUGGUCCUUCCACAUCAGCAAGGGACGGGGAGGGGACAGUGGGCCCCAGCCACCACAGAACCCACUUCACAAGUUAUGUCUCUGACCCCUUAGGCAUGGGGCCCAUGGGUGGAGUCUCUGACUCUUGCAUCUGGAUCUGAGAAGAGGCCCAUGCAGUGAGCUGGUGCCCAGGCUGCUUCCUGACAUCCGGAGAACAUGGCCAAGCUGCUUUGGGAAGGUCACUCCACCCUAUGAAACAAAUGAAUGUGGCCAUUAAUGCUGCUCAGCCUUCCUCUUCCAGAAAACAAUGGAACUCGACUGAAUCACUGACUCCCUUUCAGGCAUCUCCUUUUGGCUGUCUGACCCAGCCCCCUAAUUGAGACUCAAGCUGUUGUCCCUGGCUCAGCAAUCGGCACCCAUGCCAGUCCAGAGAAUGGAUCUGGUCCCAUAGCCUGUGGCUAUCUAUGGUGCUCUGAGCUAACCCUUUGAUGAAGAAACCAGAAAACCAAGAUUUCAUGCUCUGGUAGGGCAACAUCUCAUGGCAUAGGACAGACAGUGCUACCUUUUAGAUACCCCAGGUUCCCACAUUAAUACCCGACACCCUGUGGGAACAGGGUAGUCCUGAAUUGAGAUUUAAAGCCCAAGUAGAAAUCUUCAUUUUGGCCUCCCAAGACAAGGCCUCUAAGUAUUUUGAUCAGAGUUAUCAGUGCUGACAGGCAAGUGAUGCUUCUACUCCUAUCCAACUACUGCUCCUUAAGUGGGUCCUGCCUCGGGAAUCUUAGAAGGCUUGGUGGGAAUGUGAUUAGUGAGGCAGGCCUUGGGCAUUUCUGGGUCCCUCCCUUCCUGUGACCCCCAUCAACAUGUCAUCACAGACUUACCUAGCACCCAGGAUGACAUUGUAGAGAAAAUAUGGUUUUUAAUGACUAAGCCAAAAAGUAAUUCAGAAAAGUGGGACUCCAAAUGUGAGAAAGUUUUAGGAAUACUUUAUUCAAUCUAUUUUACUCAAAGUUUCCUUUCUUAGGCAUGUACAAUUUUUUAAAAACUUAUGUGUAAGUAAGUCUAGAAGGGCAUUUUAAAGACCUUUUUUAAAGAAAACUGUUGAGCAGUGAGAGGAAAAGACCUUAAUUCAUAGUUGUUAUGGUCUGAAUGUUUUUGUACCCCCCAAAAUUUAUAUGUUGAAACUUAAUCCCCAAUGGGAUAGUAUUAGAAUGUAGAGCCUUUGGGAGGUGAUUAGGUUUUGAGGGUGAUGCCCUCAUUAAUGGGAUUAGUGCUUUAUAAAAGAGACCCCAAAGUGCUGCUUCCAUCAUCUGAGGACAUAGCUAGAGGGCUCCAUAUAUGAGCCAGGGAGCCAGAGAGAAGGCACUGACUGUGAAGCAGAAAGCAAAUCUCCACCACACACCCAACCCGCUGGCACCUGAGCUUGGACUUCCCACCCUCUAGAACUGUAAGAAAUAAAUGUCUUUGUUCAUAAGUCAUCCAGUCUAAGGCAUUUUGUUAUAGCAGCCUGAAUGGACUAAGACAAUAUCUUAGCUUAAAAUCACGCAGCCAGGCAAUGACAGAACCAAGACAGGAAUCAAGGACCCAUCCCCGGUGCCGGGAUCAUUUUGCUGUGGCUCCA